rnacentral:misc_RNA from 1 species
UAAGAUUUCAAUAGAUAUUAAAAUUAUUUUUUCAAUAUACAUUGACAAGAGUUGCAAAUAAAUUUAUUAAUUAAAUUAAUAUUUAUAUUAAAUUAAUAAUAAUUUUCACAAUGUCAUUUUCUAUUGUUGAUGCACAAAUUGAUUUUUCUUUUUUUUACACAAAUAAAUGCAAAUCCGGUGAUCUUUAUCCAAUUAUGCAACAGAUUUCGAAUUCAG